CUGCCGUCUGAUCAGUGGCGACGGGUGAGUAACACGUGAGUAACCUGCCCCUCACUCUGGGAUAACCUCGGGAAAUCGUGGCUAAUACCGGAUAUGAGUUUCCACCGCAUGGUGGUUUCUGGAAAGUUUUUCGGUGAGGGAUGGACUCGCGGCCUAUCAGUUUGUUGGUGAGGUAAUGGCUCACCAAGGCGAUGACGGGUAGCCGGCCUGAGAGGGCGACCGGCCACACUGGGACUGAGACACGGCCCAGACUCCUACGGGAGGCAGCAGUGGGGAAUAUUGCACAAUGGG
rnacentral:rRNA from 1 species